UACAGAGGCCUCGAGCGUUAGGCGGAAUCACUGGGCUUAAAGCGUGUGUAGGCGGAUUGCUAAGUACCUUGUGAAAUCCCACGGCUUAACCGUGGAACUGCUUGGUAUACUGGCUGUCUUGAGCCACUUAGGGGCGACCGGAACAAAUGGUGGAGCGGUGAAAUGCGUAGAUAUCGGGAGGAACACCUGAGGCGAAGGCGGGCUACUGGGCCGAUACUGACGCUGAUGCGCGAAAGCCAGGGGAGCGAACGGG
rnacentral:rRNA from 1 species